rnacentral:lncRNA from 1 species
UGAAAUAAAAUGUACCAAUCCAUGUGUGUUGACCAAAUGACAUUGAAAGUCAAAGUCAAACAAUGAACAACCAGAAAAGGGAUGAAGAUUGGAGGUCAAACAAUAAGCAAAAUAUUUUUGGCAUUUUUAAUAUUAAAAUAAACUUGAAUUAAAAAUAAAAGAAAGGUCAAACUUCAAAAUCACUUCAAAUCAACCUUGAAAGGUCCUAGUG